rnacentral:rRNA from 1 species
CCUACGGGAGGCAGCAGUGAGGAAUAUUGGUCAAUGGACGCGAGUCUGAACCAGCCAUGCAGCGUGCAGGAAGACUGCUCUAUGAGUUGUAAACUUCUUUUGUACAGGGGUAAACGCAGAUACGCGUAUCUUUCUGAAAGUAUCGUACGAAUAAGGAUCGGCUAACUCCGUGCCAGCAGCCGCGGUAAUACGGAGGAUUCCAGCGUUAUCCGGAUUUAUUGGGUUUAAAGGGUGCGUAGGCGGUCGGAUAAGUUAGAGGUGAAAUCCCGAGGCUCAACUUCGGAAUUGCAUCUGAUACUGGGCGGCUAGAGAGGAGUUGCGGUAGGCGGAAUGUAUGGUGUAGCGGUGAAAUGCUUAGAGAUCAUACAGAACACCGAUUGCGAAGGCAGCUUACCAAGCUACUUCUGACGUUGAGGCACGAAAGCGUGGGUAGCAAACAGGAUUAGAUACCCUAGUAGUC